rnacentral:misc_RNA from 1 species
AUUUCUUAGUUUGCCUUUUUUGCCUUCUAAAGGUUGGGCUAGGCCAAAUUUAAUUAGUUAAGGAUUAUUAGUAAUAAAGACAAUGAAAAAUUGAUGACAUCAGGGUCAGGGAUAGUUCUAUGGCAAGAUGAAUUUCUCUUGCAAACAAGAAUAUCAAUGGGCUAAAUAUUGUGUUAUGCGUAGUGAAACUGUAAACUGUUACUUGGAAUUAUAAGCCUAAAUAUUAUUAAUCUUGCCAGUAAUUCUGUAAUUGUAGUGUUUUAUUCCACAUAUUGGCUUUUCUUUCUAGUUAUUUCUGCAUGUGGCUUCCCCAUCCGUUCUUUUUGCAUUUCAUGAUUGCUAUAAUGCAAUUAAACUGGAAUCUCGGGCUAUUUGAUCUGUAGAUAUGCAAUGGG